CAGCAUGUAGUUUAGUAAAAAUAAAAACUUUGGGUGUUUUAGAAGUAUAAUUAUAUACUUUGCUGA
rnacentral:tRNA from 1 species